GACGAACGCUGGCGGCGUGCCUAAUACAUGCAAGUCGAACGCACUCUCGUUUAGAUUGAAGGAGCUUGCUCCUGAUUGAUAAACAUUUGAGUGAGUGGCGGACGGGUGAGUAACACGUGGGUAACCUGCCCUAAAGUGGGGGAUAACAUUUGGAAACAGAUGCUAAUACCGCAUAAAACCUAACACCGCAUGGUGUAGGGUUGAAAGAUGGUUUCGGCUAUCACUUUAGGAUGGACCCGCGGUGCAUUAGUUAGUUGGUGAGGUAAAGGCUCACCAAGACCGUGAUGCAUAGCCGACCUGAGAGGGUAAUCGGCCACACUGGGACUGAGACACGGCCCAGACUCCUACGGGAGGCAGCAGUAGGGAAUCUUCCACAAUGGACGAAAGUCUGAUGGAGCAAGCCGCGUGAGUGAAGAAGGUUUUCGGAUCGGUAAAACUCUAGUUGUUGGAGAAGAAUGUAUCUGAUAGUAACUGAUCAGGUAGUGACGGUAUCCAACCAGAAAGCCACGG
rnacentral:rRNA from 1 species